AUGCGAAACGAUCAUUUUGCCGGCGUCGACAAAAUGAUCGUCAUCCCGGCGUGGCGGCCGGGGUCUGAUGAGCAGCCGCGG
rnacentral:hammerhead_ribozyme from 3 species